UACGUAGGUGGCAAGCGUUGUCCGGAUUUAUUGGGUUUAAAGGGUGCGUAGGCGGUCUUAUAAGUCAGUUGUGAAAUACGGCAGCUUAACUGUCGAGGUGCAAAUGAUACUGUAAGACUUGAGUACUGUUGAGGUAGGCGGAAUGGACGGUGUAGCGGUGAAAUGCUUAGAGAUCGUCCAGAACACCGAUAGCGAAGGCAGCUUACUAAAGAGUAACUGACGCUGAGGCACGAAAGUGUGGGGAUCAAACAGG
rnacentral:rRNA from 1 species